UCCUGCAUUAUGAUAAAUAAAAUAAGUACUUGUAAAAAAACAACAUAUUGCAAAAAGAAAACUGUUCAAAAUAAUUGGUAUAAGCAUUGUUUUUUUGCCAAGAUAAAGCACAUUCAUUUGGUAAUCAUGCAAAUGGCAAGCAAGAUUUGUUGAGUUUCUUCUUCAUUUACAUUGGUAAAAUGAUACCAGAAAGGCAUAAAGUGAGACAUGCCUUCGAACAUUAAGUUUUAGCUAUCCAAAGUACUACAGAAAGUACGGAAUAUGGUACAGUUUUACAAAAAAAACUUUUCAUCAAACAAUUUCCCUUAGUGCAGCUCGACGGCUAGCUGUUUGAAAAGGGAGGGACAGAUAUUAUGUGGGGCCAGACCUACAGGAGGGCCACGGCUGUAACUUAAGGGGCAGGUUGAGCAUUUUUCUGAAACUUCUAUGCACAGGGAAGACUAGCCUUAGUCUGAAACUGGGAGGAGCAAGUGAAUUAAACGCUCAAGGCCAGCAGCAGCAAGCCACAAAGGCAAGCAGCAUCGGCAAGCAAAACAACCA